AGUGAACGCUGGCGGUAGGCCUAACACAUGCAAGUCGAACGGCAGCACAGUAAGAGCUUGCUCUUACGGGUGGCGAGUGGCGGACGGGUGAGGAAUACAUCGGAAUCUACUUUUCGUGGGGGAUAACGUAGGGAAACUUACGCUAAUACCGCAUACGACCUACGGGUGAAAGCAGGGGAUCUUCGGACCUUGCGCGAUUGAAUGAGCCGAUGUCGGAUUAGCUAGUUGGCGGGGUAAAGGCCCACCAAGGCGACGAUCCGUAGCUGGUCUGAGAGGAUGAUCAGCCACACUGGAACUGAGACACGGUCCAGACUCCUACGGGAGGCAGCAGUGGGGAAUAUUAGACAAUGGGCGCAAGCCUGAUCCAGCCAUACCGCGUGGGUGAAGAAGGCCUUCGGGUUGUAAAGCCCUUUUGUUGGGAAAGAAAAGCAGCAGGUUAAUACCCCGCUGUUCUGACGGUACCCAAAGAAUAAGCACCGGCUAACUUCGUG
rnacentral:rRNA from 1 species